rnacentral:misc_RNA from 1 species
UGCUAGAUUGGGAUGUGAAAUAAGCAUUGAUAUGAAACUUGACAGUGAAGUUUAACGUUUCAAGCCUCGUGGAUGCAUGGAAAAGCGCGUUUGAGUUAAAAGUGAUUGUUGUGCGUACCCCUCACUUCCUACAUGUAAGCUAAUGAAGCUACAGGACGAAAGCCUACUGAGGAACGGGUGAAUGUAAAAUUUACAGUAGGCCCCAGGCUACGCAUGGAGGAAUAAAAACGCUAGCCUAACUGACUGCAGCUAAAAACCCAGUGUUAUUUUGAAGUCUCUGUGAUGGUGGCAUGUAUCAGCAGUCAGCACCAAUGAACAGGCAGAGGAUGUCAGGUCCUAGCAAGCAGACCGCCAGUCGGAGGCUGCCCCCUCUGCCUGCUCACAAGCGGAGCCCGGCCCCCACCAGCCCCCAUGCACCCAGCAAAGGCCACUCUGUCUACCUGGGGCCCAGUCCGCCGAGCCACCGAAUGGAAGGGAAGUAUGCCCAUAUCCAAGGGCAUUAUGGCUACGGGAUUGCCCGCUCAAACCAUGACCGUAUGAUAGUUACAGGGCAGUCAUCCACCCUGAGUAAUGGUAUUGGCCGGCAUCGUGGGAUUCUGUCACAUCCAUCAUUCAGCGAAUCCGUUGAUAUUAUGCCAGAUCACAUUCUCCAAGAGCAGGUGCGGAGCUACCUCAAUGAAAACCCGGCAUUUCUGGAGGAUUACGUGCUAAGUCACGUCGACUAUGACAUACUGGAGAGGUGGACCGGUCAGGUCCGUGCCCAAAAGCACAAAGUCACCUACAGCAGGUCCAGAAGUAUGUCUCGGGAGAACUCUGGGAAAAGUGGCUCAAGCCAGGGCACAGGUCCUCCGUCACCCAAGCCCCAGCACUGGAAGAAAGGCGUAACACUCCACGACAGGAAGAAACUAGUGCAUGAGUUGACCCAGGACUUGCAGCACUACGCCAGCCGGGUUCGCAUCUUGCAGGAAAUGGCAAAGUGUGUGGCUUCUCAGAUCCAGGCAGACGGGUUCACACUCUAUCUGGUGACUGAGAGAGGGACAGAACUGUAUGAAUAUAAUGCGGACCACAAGGGAGAGGAGCCUGGCAUUACCUGGCCCAUAGGAAAAGGCAAAUCCUUGGCAGGUUAUGUCGCCCAUACUCUGCAUACAGUCAAUACGACAGAGAUUCACACGGCUGAUUAUCCAGAGGGUGUGGUGGCAGAUGGUGUGACAGCAAGCACUGUUCUUGCUCUUCCCGUCUUACAAGCAAAUGAGGAUUUAGUAGGAGUGCUAGAAUUCUACCGUGACACUGAUCAAGGGCACGCCUCGUUCACCGAUGAAGCACAGGAAACAGCAAGUGCCUUCCUUGUGUGGGGGAGCAUUGCAGUUCAUUACGCUCAGAUGUGUGUCAGCAUGAGUAAGCAGAGAAAGCUGAAUGACUUCCUCUUGACUGUAACCAAGUCGAUUUUUCAAGACAUUAUCAGCAUGGAUACAGUCAUCAUGAAGAUCAUGAACUUUGCACAGAAGUUGGUGUCAGCGGACCGCGCUUCACUCUUCCUCGUCGACAACAAAACCAGAGAGUUGUAUGCUAGAAUAUUUGAUGUUGGCAACGGUGUUGGAAUGCAAGUUGUAGAAAAUGAACAAAAAGAAAUCAGGUUUUCCAUGGAUAAAGGUGUUGCUGGUUACGUAGCUUCCACUGGGCAAGUUCUUAACAUCCCUGAUGCCUAUCUAGAUGAACGCUUCAACAGGGAUGUUGAUCAACAGACCGGCUACGUUACUAAGACUAUUCUGUGUAUGCCGAUAUACAACAGAGGAAAUGUGAUCGGUGUGGUGCAGAUGGUGAACAAGAAACAAGGAUACUUUACCAAAGUUGAUGAACAAGCCUUUGAGACCUUCGCUGUAUUCUGUGGUUUGGCUCUGCAUCAUGCCAAGCUUUAUGAUAAAAUCCAUCGAUCGGAGCAGAAACACAAAGUUGCCCUGGAAGUGUUGAGCUACCAUAGUCAGUGCUAUGAAGAAGAUCUGGAGAACUUGAAAAAAGUUGCAUUGCCAGACCCCAUGCCUCAACUUGCAAGGUAUGACUUCUCCCCAUGGGGAUUGGAUGAAGAAGCCAAGCCACUCUACGUGCUGUGCAUGUUCCAGGAUAUGUUCACUCUGAACGGCAAUGAUGAUGACAACUCGCAGAGCUUUGAUUAUGAAGACUUGUGUCGGUUUAUCCUGACUGUGCGUAAGAACUACAGAAAGGUUCCUUACCACAAUUGGACACAUGCAUUCUCAGUCGCUCAUAGUGUCUACACCAUCAUUAAGACCUGCCAAGAAGAAGUUUUCACCCCCGUUGAGUGUCUGGCCCUGUUUGUGGCCUGUCUGUGCCACGACCUGGAUCACCGGGGCAAGAACAACUCCUUCAUGGUCAACAACGCCACGCCCUUAGCAGCGGUGUAUUCCACAUCUACCAUGGAGCAUCAUCACUUCAACAUGACCAUCACCAUUCUUCAGAAUGAUGGACACAAUAUCUUCAAGCACCUGACGUCAGACGAGUACAAGCAAGUACUGAGUGACAUACGACAUGCCAUCCUCGCCACCGAUCUGGCCCUGUUCUUUGGGAACAAGGCCAAACUGAAGGCCAUAGUGGAGGCGGGCCAGUUCUCAUGGGAAAACCAGGAGCACAGAUCAUUUGUGAGAGCACUGACUAUGACUGCAUGUGAUUUGGCGGCCAACACAAAGCCGUGGUUGAUACAGCAGCAAACCGUUAAGGUUAUCUUUGACGAGUUUUAUCAACAGAAAGCUGUUGAAGGCUAUUGCAAUGACGGCCUGCGACCUGUGUGCAGUUUGUAAACCGUUUGAUAUUCAGCGGCAGGUGGCCAGUGAGUGCUUCGAGGAAUUUUACACCCAGGGUGAUGAAGAGAAAGCCCAGGGUCGUAAUCCAAUUCCCAUGAUGGACCGCUCCAAGUCACAUGAACUGCCAACCAAUC